UACGGAGGGUGCAAGCGUUAUCCGGAUUUACUGGGUUUAAAGGGUGCGUAGGUGGGUAGGUAAGUCAGUGGUGAAAUCUUCGAGCUUAACUCGGAAGCUGCCAUUGAUACUAUUUAUCUUGAAUACUUUGGAGGUAAGCGGAAUAUGUCAUGUAGCGGUGAAAUGCUUAGAUAUGACAUAGAACACCAAUUGCGAAGGCAGCUUACUACACAGUCAUUGACACUGAGGCACGAAAGCGUGGGGAUCAAACAGG
rnacentral:rRNA from 1 species